rnacentral:rRNA from 1 species
AAUCAACGCUGGCGGCGCGCCUAACACAUGCAAGUCGAGCGAGAAAGUGGAGCAAUCCAUGAGUAAAGCGGCGCACGGGUGAGUAACACGUGGAUAAUCUACCUUCUGGUGGGGAAUAACCUGGGGAAACCUGGGCUAAUACCGCAUAAGUCCGAGAGGAGAAAGCCGAAAGGCGUCAGAAGAGGAGUCCGCGGCCGAUUAGCUAGUUGGUGAGGUAAAAGCUCACCAAGGCGACGAUCGGUAGCCGGCCUGAGAGGGCACACGGCCACACUGGCACUGAAACACGGGCCAGACUCCUACGGGAGGCAGCAGUGGGGAAUCUUGCACAAUGGGGGAAACCCUGAUGCAGCGACGCCGCGUGAACGAUGAAGCCCCUCGGGGUGUAAAGUUCUUUCGGCAGGGACGAUUAUGACUGUACCUGCAGAAGCAGCUGCGGCUAACUACGUGCCAGCAGCCGCGGUAAUACGUAGGCAGCAAGCGUUGUUCGGAAUUACUGGGCGUAAAGAGUGCGUAGGUGGUUGGCCAAGUUUGGUGUGAAAUCUCCCGGCUUAACUGGGAGGGUGCGCCGAAAACUGGCCGGCUAGAGUGUGGGAGAGGGAAGCGGAAUUCCAGGUGUAGCGGUGAAAUGCGUAGAUAUCUGGAGGAACGCCUGCGGUGUAGACGGCUUCCUGGACCAUGACUGACACUGAGGCACGAAAGCGUGGGUAGCAAACAGGAUUAGAUACCCUGGUAGUCCACGCCCUAAACGAUGCA